GGACGAACGCUGGCGGCGUGCCUAAUCCAUGCAAGUAGAACGCUGAAGGAGGAGCUUGCUUCUCUGGAUGAGUUGCGAACGGGUGAGUAACGCGUAGGUAACCUGCCUGGUAGCGGGGGAUAACUAUUGGAAACGAUAGCUAAUACCGCAUAAUAGUAGAUGUUGCAUGACAUUUGCUUAAAAGGUGCAAUUGCAUCACUACCAGAUGGACCUGCGUUGUAUUAGCUAGUUGGUGAGGUAACGGCUCACCAAGGCAACGAUACAUAGCCGACCUGAGAGGGUGAUCGGCCACACUGGGACUGAGACACGGCCCAGACUCCUACGGGAGGCAGCAGUAGGGAAUCUUCGGCAAUGGACGGAAGUCUGACCGAGCAACGCCGCGUGAGUGAAGAAGGUUUUCGGAUCGUAAAGCUCUGUUGUAAGAGAAGAACGAGUGUGAGAGUGGAAAGUUCACACUGUGACGGUAUCUUACCAGAAAGGGACGGCUAACUACGUG
rnacentral:rRNA from 1 species